rnacentral:rRNA from 1 species
AGAGUUUGAUCCUGGCUCAGGAUGAACGCUGGCGGCGUGCCUAAUACAUGCAAGUCGAACGAGGUCGCAAGACCGAGUGGCGAACGGGUGAGUAACACGUAGGAAUCUGCCCAAGAGUAGGGAAUACCCAGCCGAAAGGUUGGCUAAUGCCCUAUAGUCCCGCAAGGGUAAAGCAGCAAUGCGCUUUUGGAGGAGCCUGCGUCCUAUCAGCUUGUUGGUGAGGUAAUGGCUUACCAAGGCUAUGACGGGUAGCUGGUCUGAGAGGACGACCAGCCACAAUGGGACUGAGACACGGCCCAUACACCUGCGGGUGGCAGCAGUAAGGAAUUGUACGCAAUGGGCGAAAGCCUGACGUCGCAACGCCGCGUGGAGGAAGAAGGCCUUCGGGUCGUAAACUUCUUUUAUCAGGGACGAUUAUGACUGUACCUGAGGAAUAAGGACCUGCUAACUACGUGCCAGCAGCCGCGGUAAUACGUAGGGUCCGAGCGUUAUCCGGUUUUAUUGGGCGUAAAGAGUGCGUAGGUGGUUCGGUAAGGCAGCGGUGAAAGACCCGGGCUCAACUCGGGGAACGCCACUGUUACUGCCCAACUUGACGAUAGCAGGGCCAAGCAGAAUUCUCGGUGUAGGGGUGAAUCCCGUUGAGAUCGAGAAGAAUACCAAUGGCGAAAGGCAGCUUGCUAGGCUAUAUGUGACAACUGAGGCACGAAAGCGUGGGGGAGCGAACGGGAUUAGAUUACCCCGGUAGUCCACGCCGUAAACGAUGCACACUAGCUAUCAGAAGCAUCGACCUUUUCUUGUAAGAGAAGCUAACGCGUUAAAGUGUGCCCGCCGUGGGGAGUACGGCCCGCAAGGCUAAAAACUCAAAAGGAAAUUGACGGGGGAUCGCACAAGCGGGGGGAGCGUUGUGGUUUAAUUUGGACGAUACCGGGAGACCCUUUACCCAGGGGUUUGACAUCUCUGGAAAGUCCUAGAAAAUAGGGCCCGUCCCCCGCAAGGAAACGAGAUGACCAGGUGUUGCACGGCUUGUCGUCAGCUCGUGGCGUGAGCUGUGUUCUUAAGUGAAGUAAACGAGGGGAACCCCCCUAUCAUCAGUUAGAUUUGUUUGAUGGAGACUGCCGGGCAUUUCGCUGGGAGGGAAGGUGGGGGACGACGUCAAGUCCGCCGGUGGCCCUUACACCCUGGGGCUACACACGCGCUACAAUGGCAUCGACAAUGGGUUGCUAAGCCGCGAGGCGGAGCUAAUCCCAUCAAAAGAUGCCCCAGUUCGGAUUGGAGGCUGCAACUCGCCUCCAUGAAGCCGGAAUCGCUAGUAAUCGUGGGUCAGCUAUACCACGGUGAAUACGUUCUCGAUCCUUGUACACACCGCCCGUCAAGUGAGCCGAGUUGGCAAUGCCCGAAUUCUGAUGUCUUAUUGGAACACGGUAGGGUCAGCAAGGAGCACUAAGUCGUAACAAGGUAACC